rnacentral:rRNA from 1 species
CCCUUAGAUGUUCUGGGCCGCACGCGUGCUACACUGAUGCAUUCAACGAGUCUAAAACCUGGUCUGAUAGGGCUGGGUAAUCUUUUGAAAGCGCAUCGUGAUUGGGAUAGAUGAUUGCAAUUCUUCAUCUUCAACGAGGAAUGCCUAGUAAACGCAAGUCAUCAGCUUGCAUUGAUUACGUCCCUGCCCUUUGUACACACCGCCCGUCGCUCCUACCGAUUGAAUGAUCCGAUGAAUAUCAUGGAUUGAGAGUACGAAUGGGUUCGCUCAUUUCUGCUGCUCGAGAAGUGAAGUAAAUCUUAUCAUUUAGAGGAAGGAGAAGUCGUAACA